rnacentral:rRNA from 1 species
ACGUAGGGUGCAAGCGUUGUCCGGAAUUAUUGGGCGUAAAGAGCUCGUAGGCGGUUUGUUGCGUCGGCUGUGAAAUCCCGAGGCUCAACCUCGGGUCUGCAGUCGAUACGAGCAAACUAGAGUGUUGCAGGGGAGACUGGAAUUCCUGGUGUAGCGGUGAAAUGCGUAGAUAUCAAGAGGAACACCUGCGGCGAAGGCGGGUUGCUGGGCCGACACUGACGCUGAGACGCGAAAGCCAGGGGAGCGAACGGGA